rnacentral:rRNA from 1 species
AUUGAACGCUGGCGGCAGGCCUAACACAUGCAAGUCGAGCGAGCGGCGGACGGGUGAGUAAUGUCUGGGGAAAUGCCUGAUGGAGAGGGAUAACUCCUGGAAACGGUGGCUAAUACAGCAUACCAUAGACUGUGACCAGAUGGGAGUAGCUAGUAGGUGGGGGAACGGCUCACCUAGGCGACGAUCCCUAGCUGGUCUGAGAGGAGGACCAGCCACCCUGGAACGGAGACACGGUCCAUACUCCUACGGGAGGCAGCAGUGGGGAAUAUUGCACAAUGGGCGCAAGCCUGAUGCAGCCAUGCCGCGUGUGUGAAGAAGGCCUUCGGGUUGUAAAGCACUUUCAGCGGGGAGGCGUUACCCGCAGAAGAAGCACCGGCUAACUCCGUGCCAGCAGCCGCGGUAAUUC